rnacentral:tRNA from 1 species
AAGUAGCCGCCGGGCGAACGGAUAUCAUUGAUGUUGAUAAAUAGAAAACUUUAAGUUUUGCUACUUC